UCGUUCUUUUCUUUCGCUCCUUUCAUUACCAACGCCGGCGUGUCGAGCUGCUAUUAAUUUGUUUCAAAUUAAAUUUAUUUGAAUUAAUUUAUAAAAUAAUCAUAAAGAAUGUCAAUGAUGAAGCGCACUGCUUUUGAAUGGCUGCAUAAUAAUCAUGUCAACAUAUUUGGCUUUGGCGAUUGAACCAGCGGCUACCACUUGAACCACGUGGUUUCUUUGCACUUGUUGAAACUUAUCAAUGCUUAAAUUAAAAUGAGCAAAAUUAAAAUAGUGGAAGUUCUAUGGAGAAGCAAAUUUGGAGGUUACACAUAACCUAUCUUAUUUCGUUUCUCCUGAUGAUAACUUCAUACCCAAAUCAGAGCAAUUAUGUUGAAAUCUGUUUAACAUGCAUCACCAUCUGAUCCUUACGCAUAAAUCUCUUAAUCCUUGAUUUGAAAACAUGUAAAUAAUUUGUUUUAAUUUUCUUUUAGACUUUGGGCGCAUUAAAUUGGCGGAAUAGAAAUAGGAAUGACGCCCUUGCCCACGCUAAAAAGCACAAUGCACAUUGAACCAGCGGACAUGCAUGAAUUUAAUAUAUUAAUUUUAUUAUACAAAAUAGUUUAAUGUUCAUAUCAAUAAUGUGUAAAAAUAAACUUAUAAACAACUUAUAUAA